AUGACAAAAGUCCCCUGGCCCUUGGAAUGUCUGGAGACCCCCCACCCUUGUCUCCACCCAGGAGGUGAAUUACAGAAUCCCCUGGACCUUGGAAUGUCCGAAACCUUUUCAUCCCCAUCCCCGCUCCUCACCCCCACGCCCAAGGUGAUUUUUCGGUCUGUUAACUCCACCAUGGGCUACAUGAUGGCCAAAAACCACCUGGAGAUAAACCCUGACCACCCUAUUGUGGAGACGCUGCGGCAGAAGGCGGAGGCAGACAAGAAUGACAAGGCAGUUAAGGACCUUGUGGUGCUGCUGUUUGAAACCGCCCUGCUCUCUUCUGGCUUUUCCCUUGAGGAUCCCCAGACCCACUCCAACCGCAUCUACCGCAUGAUCAAGUUAGGUCUAGGUAUCGAUGAAGAUGAUGUGGCAGCAGAGGAACCCAGUGCUGCAGUUCCUGAUGAGAUCCCUCCUCUUGAGGGUGAUGAGGAUGCGUCUCGCAUGGAAGAAGUAGAUUAGGACUUUAUAGUUGGAAAACUGCCCUUGUAUAGUGUCCCCAUGGCUCCCCCUGCAGCCUUGAGUGCCCCUCUCCCACCUGGCUCGCCCUGCUGAUGUCUGGUGUUUUUCUGUCCUGUCCUUUGGUUGAAGGCAGGAAACAAGGUGUCAAGCCCCCAUUCUUUCCCUACUCUGACAGCAGGAUUGGAUGUUGUGUAUUGUGGUUUUUGUUUGUUUGUUUGUUCAUUUUGUUCUGAAAUUAAAGUAUGCAAAAUAAAAAAAAAA